rnacentral:rRNA from 1 species
GAUGAACGCUCGCUACAGGCUUAACACAUGCAAGUCGAGGGGAAACGACAUCGAAAGCUUGCUUUUGAUGGGCGUCGACCGGCGCACGGGUGAGUAACGCGUAUCCAACCUGCCCACCACUUGGGGAUAACCUUGCGAAAGUAAGACUAAUACCCAAUGACGUCUCUAGAAGACAUCUGAAGGAGAUUAAAGAUUUAUCGGUGAUGGAUGGGGAUGCGUCUGAUUAGCUUGUUGGCGGGGUAACGGCCCACCAAGGCGACGAUCAGUAGGGGUUCUGAGAGGAAGGUCCCCCGCAUUGGAACUGAGACACGGUCCAAACUCCUACGGGAGGCAGCAGUGAGGAAUAUUGGUCAAUGGGCGAGAGCCUGAACCAGCCAAGUAGCGUGCAGGAUGACGGCCCUAUGGGUUGUAAACUGCUUUUAUAAGGGAAUAAAGUGAGUCUCGUGAGACUUUGCAUGUACCUUAUGAAUAAGGACCGGCUAAUUCCGUGCCAGCAGCCGCAGUAA